GCUUGUCUCAAAGAUUAAGCCAUGCAUGUCUUAGUGUAAAUAACUCUUAUGAAACUGCGAAUGGCUCAUUAAAUCAGUUAUCAAAUACGUGAUGGUCGCCUACUACAUGGAUAACCGUAGUAAUUCUAGAGCUAAUACAUGCGUCAAGUCCCGACUGCUCUGCAGGAAGGAUGCACUUAUUAGAUACAACCAACCCUUCGGGUCCCUGGUGAAUCAUAAUAAUUGAGCGAACCGCAUGCUUCGGCGGCGGUGGUUCAUUCAAGUUUCUGCCCUAUCAGCUUUCGAUGGUAGGGUAUUGGCCUACCAUGGCGUUAACGGGUAACGGAGAAUUAGGGUUCGAUUCCGGAGAGGGAGCCUGAGAGAUGGCUACCACAUCCAAGGAAGGCAGCAGG
rnacentral:rRNA from 1 species